UUCCUCCCCAAAAUUCAGGAUUCUCUCUGAGUCACCGGAGGUGGAGGUGUAGAACUCUCUGAUCUGUUUUCAGAAGAUGGCCGAUUGUCGGUGUCCCCCUGUCGGACAUUUUCAAUCAUUUUCACUACUUCUGGCAUUUUAGGUCUUUGAUCUGGCAUUCUCACUACACAUGACAAAGCUAUCUGCAACAUCUCCACCAUCUCCUCCUCUAUAUUUGGAUAUCUCAUCAGCUCCACAUCAAACACUUCAGCUGUCCACUCCUCACGAACUACUGAAUGAACCCACCUCACCAAGUGGAUGAUCUCAUCCCCGCCAGUGGUAUGAAUGGGGGACUUCCCAGUUAGAAGUUCCAGUAACACCACGCCAAAGCUGUAGACAUCUGAAGGCUGUGCUGCUUUCCUGGUGUCUGUCACUUC
rnacentral:misc_RNA from 1 species